UCCGGUUUGGCACCGGCAGUCUCCCUAGAGUUCCCGGCAUGAUCCGCUGGCAACUAAGGACAGGGGUUGCGCUCGUUGCGCCACUUAAGGCAACACCUCACGGCACGAGCUGACGACAGCCAUGCAGCACCUGAACCGGCAGUCCCCGAAGGGAAAAUCCUAUUUCUAGGACGGUCCGCCGUUGUCUAGCCCAGGUAAGGUUCUUCGCGUUGCGUCGAAUUGAACCACAUGCUCCACCGCUUGUGCGGGCCCCCGUCAAUUCCUUUGAGUUUCAGCCUUGCGGCCGUACUCCCCAGGCGGGGCACUUCAUGCGUUAGCGCCGGUACUCCAAGGGUCGCUCCCCCCGGCGCCUAGUACCCAUCGUUUACGGCGUGGACUAC
rnacentral:misc_RNA from 1 species